rnacentral:rRNA from 1 species
AUUAGUUAGUUGGUGGGGUAACGGCCUACCAAGGCGACGAUCAGUAGCCGACCUGAGAGGGUGAUCGGCCACAUUGGAACUGAGACACGGUCCAAACUCCUACGGGAGGCAGCAGUGGAGAAUCUUGCACAAUGGGCGAAAGCCUGAUGCAGCAACGCCGCGUGAAGGAUGAAGGCCCUUGGGUCGUAAACUUCUGUUCUAAGGGAAGAUAAUGACGGUACCUUAGGAGCAAGUCCCGGCUAACUACGUGCCAGCAGCCGCGGUAAUACGUAGGGGGCGAGCGUUAUCCGGAAUUAUUGGGCGUAAAGAGUACGUAGGUGGUAACUUAAGCAUGUGGUUUAAGGCAAUGGCUUAACUAUUGUUCGCCGCAUGAACUGGGCUACUUGAGUGCUGGAGAGGAAAGCGGAAUUCCUAGUGUAGCGGUGAAAUGCGUAGAUAUUAGGAGGAACACCAGUGGCGAAGGCGGCUUUCUGGACAGUAACUGACACUGAGGUACGAAAGUGUGGGUAGCAAACAGGAUUAGAUACCCUGGUAGUCCACACCGUAAACGAUGAGCACCAGGUGUCGGGGUCGCAAGACUUCGGUGCCGCAGUUAACGCAUUAA